rnacentral:rRNA from 1 species
GACGAACGCUGGCGGCGUGCUUAACACAUGCAAGUCGAACGGAAAGGCCCUGCUUUUGUGGGGUGCUCGAGUGGCGAACGGGUGAGUAACACGUGAGUAACCUGCCCUUGACUUUGGGAUAACUUCAGGAAACUGGGGCUAAUAUCGGAUAGGAGCUCCUGCUGCAUGGUGGGGGUUGGAAAGUUUCGGCGGUUGGGGGUGGACUCGCGGCUUAUGAGCUUGUUGGUGGGGUAGUGGCUUACCAAGGCUUUGACGGGUAGCCGGCCUGAGAGGGUGGACGGCCACAAUGGGCCUGAGAUACGCACCAGACUCGUACGGGAGGCAGCAGUCGGGAAUCUGACGCAGUGGGCGGGAGCCUGUUGAAGACACCCCGCGUGCGGGAAGACCGCCUUUGGGUUGUGAACCGCUUUCGCCUGUGACGAAGCGUUAGUGACGGUAAUGGGUAAAGAAGCAACGGCUAACUACGUG